rnacentral:rRNA from 1 species
UACGUAGGGGGCGAGCGUUAUCCGGAAUUACUGGGCGUAAAGCGCACGCAGGCGGUUCGCCAAGUUUGGAGUGACAGUUGUCGGCUCAGCCGACAAAGGACUUCAAAAACUGGUGAACUUGAGGACGAGAGAGGAACAUGGAACUCCAGGUGUAGUAGUGAAAUGCGUAGAUAUCUGGAAGAACACCAAUGGCGAAGGCAAUGUUCUGGCUCGUUUCUGACGCUCAGGUGCGAAAGCCAGGGGAGCGAACGGG